CCCUAUGGGGUGCAUAAUAUGGGCUUUCUUUCACAUGAUUCUCUGGCAUUCGGUCGGAGAAGACGAUAUCUUGAGGGCACAUGUGGCUGAUCGACAGCCGGCAAUGUUGUUGAAUGAACGAACUUUCGUCAUUCCGGCGAAAGCCGGAAUCCAGGAAAAAUAAGACUUUCCGGACCCCGGUUUUCACCGGUGUGACGUUAAGCCAAGAACAUUGUCGACGGUUCGGAGAGGCUGUCUCUAUCGGUGAAACGGAAGGACUUGGAGUUUAAAGAGAGAAGGAGAAGAGGGGUAUGAAGCGCAAAGCCACAUAUCGGCUGAUGGUUACCCGCAGAGAGAUGCUGUAUGUUCAGGAUGAAUUUGAUCAUACGUUGAUGCUGGUGGAAUUGGCGGGGGGGC
rnacentral:rRNA from 1 species